AUGCAAUAUUUUAAAAUGUGGUAAAAUAUUUCUUGUUUCAGUGAAUAAGAAUGGUCUUCUUACAUAAUGCAGGGAUGGAAGAAGAUACUUGGAAAAAUCAGGGAAGAGUGAAGAAGAUACUUCAAAAAAUCGGGGAAGAUUUUCAUCAUAAGGUCCAAGCAAAGGCAUGAGUAUAAGAUGUGUAUUCCUGAGCCUGAGUCUACUGACAAAUAUACCACAUCCCCAGAGUAAGUUGGAGUCUCUUAAAAUUGUCUUGCUGGCAUCUAGCGGAGAUUGUCCCCACAAGCAUGUUCCUUAUGACGGAUGCCUGGGUCAGAACACAUAAUACAUUCCUUUUUAUAAGCACAAAGAUUCUGAGAAGCACUGCCCCUCCCACGUGUCACACUCUGGGGAGAGAUUAUUGGAAUGCCUCUUGGAUCAGUGGGAUUUUACCAAUGGAAACCCAGCAGGAGACUGAAGAAAGAAAGGAGUGAGGGCUGGCUUGCUAUUAACUAGUGCCGCAGGACUGCAUGGAGGUUGCCCUACGCUCAACCACACCAUGACCUCAAUCUCUCUACCAAGACCUUGAUCUCUGAUGUGGAACUUUGUCAAAUGCUGUCUGCAAACGUAAGAGCAUGCUCUUCCCUGCAGGAGGACAAAGCCGGAGUCGUCUUCGAAAGGCAGAGGAGCGCUGAAUGAAUAAACAUUGGCAUUUCAUGGUGGGGCUUGCUGUCAGACCCAAGCUACUUCAGAUAGAACAUUUUGAUUAGAAAUUUCAAGAAGUGUUGUUUGGAAGGGCAUCAUUCGUCCAUUGUCUAGUGAUUUUACAGAAUAAUACUUUUACAAACCACUUGUCAAUGGAUUGAAGAAGAAGAAAGUUGCAGUCAGGUGCUUUGGACAAAGCAUUGUCCCAGACGUCACUAGGGAAAUGAAGAAAUGUUUUUCCUCCUUUCUGUUCAGAAAAAAAGUAGUUGUUAUGAAGGUCUUAGGAGAAGAUAAAUUAGACUGCUUUUCCUGGGAGUGGCUUGAUGGACUGUGAAUGAAUAUUCAGUCUUUUUAGAGAAAAUUGAUUACAUUUUAAGGGCUGUUAUAGGUUUUAUGAGCAAACAUAUGCAUCCCAUUCCAAUUUGCUGUAGGAUGAAUGUAGUUCUUUAGAACAAAGUGCAAUUAAAAUAUAUAUAGAAACAGGAUGACAAGAGUUCUCUUUUAGGAGCUGAAUAAAACUGGAAACCCAUAGAAUGUCAAGAUUUUUAUCCAGUUAAGUUUACAGCUAUAAACUUCUUCAAACUCAGUUAAAAUAGUAAUUUGUUUAACUUUUCACUAGUCUUCAUGUUAGGAAUGGAGUGUCAGAGGAUGAGAUGUACAAAUAGUCACACUGCCUUAGCCGAUAAAGAAACCUGAGGAAAAACUGUGAUGUAAUCUCUUCUCCUUUCCCCCCUCCAACGAGCCUGAACUCUCAGAAUCAGGGAUCAGAUUUAUGAGGGAUGUUUAAAAUCCAUUUCUUUUAGGUUUAAUAAACCAAAAUGUUCAACUUUCUCGCAAAAUUUUCUAAAUUUUAUCUGCAACUGUUGACAUUCAUGUUUUUAAAAAGUGCACACCUAGAGUGACAAAAUAAGAAACAAAUGUAUUUAAGUUAAUGUAGAAUUUUUAUGAGUAUCUUAUCUAUAGAGUACCAAUUUUUUUAAAGAAACAAAACAUUAAAAAGUUUUAAACUCUAUAGAAGUAUUAUGCCAUAGGGCUUUAUAAAGAUUAAGUGAGGUAAUAUAUAACAAGUGCUUAAAACAUACACAGUAUUACAGUAGAGUUAGCUUUAUUAUUAAUAGUAACUCAAGCCUAUGAUGACCAAAACUGAGUUUUUGAUUCCUGCAAGUUCAACAUCUGCUCCUCCCCUUGUCUUUCUGUUUAAUAAGUUGUUACACCAUCUACCCUAAUUCCUGAAUUCCAAAACCUUGGAGUCUUCUUUGAUUUCUUUCUCAUGUUCUCCACGUUAGUAGGCCCUGCUGCUUUCCCUCCUCAGUGUAUGCUAAACUCAUUUAACUUUCUCCAUUUUUACUGACAAUGCACACCAUCAUACUCUGUCAUCUAUGCCACUGUAACACAUUCUUAAAUGGUCCCUCUGUUCAACUGUUGCCCCUGCAAUUCAUUCUAUAUGUAGUGGUGAAAGUGAAUACAUAUAAACACAAAUCAAGUUUUGUUACUUGAUGGAAACCCUCCAAUAAUCAUUCACUAUGAAUAAAAUCCAGACCUUUUGCUAUGACCCUCAAGACCCCAUGUGACCUGGUCCUUGCCUACCUCUCUGGCCUUGGCUCUCACAAUUCUGUCUGUACUGAUAUUCACCAGUCAUAUUGGUUGUCUCUUUUUUCCUAAAUUAAGCACUCUAAACUCAUUUCUGCUUCAGAGACUGCAGAUGCCAUGCUCUGUGCCGGAAACUCUCUUUUCCCUUCUCUGGUUAGCUCCUUCCCAUCAUUCAGGUUUCAGUUCAAAUGAGGCUUCUCUGAGGACUGAUCUAUUAUUUGCCACAGCCAUUCUUUAUUCUCUAUGGCAUCCUCCAUAUUAUUUUCUUUAUAAUACUUCUUAAUGUGUGAAUAAUUACUGUGUGGAUGACUUCCUUACAUAGUUAUUUAUUUGUUCAUGUUCUUGCUUACAUUUCAUUGUCAGCUUCUAGAAGAAGAGCUCUUUAAGAGCAGUGACCCUGUCUGUCUUGAUCAUGGAACAAAGACUGGUAUAUCCAGAUGUUCAAUAAAUAUUUCCUGUAUGAAUACAUGACUAUGUUUCAUUUUCCUCUUCUUUCCUCCUUUUGCCCCUCACUUCUCUGUCUUUUUUUUAUGUGUCUCUCUCUUUCUCUGUCACUAUCUUACACAAAAGGAAUAUAAAUAUAUAUUUGUAUAUAUGCAGAUAACUUUGUGCCCCCAAUGUUAUAGAAAUCAUUACAUGUCAGUAUAUUUUGUUCUACCUUAUACUUCUAAAACAGUUGUAAGAUAUUGUAUGAAUGAAUCAUAAUUUAUUUAAUCAUUCUCUAGUGAGAGACAUCAAGAUGACUUAAAUUUUUUUUUUCUUAGGUAAGUAAUCAUUGCUGUAAUGAAUACUUUUGCAUAGUCUUUUUUGCUCACAUGUGCUUGCAUUUCUCUAAAAUACAUUUCUAGAUGUGGAAUAACUUUGUCAUUUAAAAAAAUUCUCUCUGAAAAGGCUUAACCAAAAAUAUAGAAAUUUGCUCAUUUUUUCCACCUUUACCCAAACUAGAUAUUAAUAUUUUUUAAAAGAAUUAUUUCUCCUUUUUUUGACAAAACAUUGGUAUCUGGCUGGGCAUGGUGACUCACACCUGUAAUCCCAGCACUUUGGGAGGCCGAGGAGGGCAGAUUUCUUGAAGUCAGAAGUUCAGGACUAACCUGACCAACAUGGUGAAACCCCUUCUCUACUAAAAAUACAAAAAUUAGCCAGGUGUGGUGGCAUGUCUGUAGUUCCAGCUACUCGGGAGGCUGGGACACAAGAAUCGCUUGAACCUGAGAGGCAGAGGCUGCAGUCAGCUGAGAACGCACCACUGAACUCCAGCCUGGGUGACAGACCUAGAACCUGCCUCAAAGAAAACAAAACAAAACAAAACAUUGAAAUCUUAUUUUUAGAUUAUCUUUGUCUGAUCUUAGUGAGGUUGAUGACAUUUCUGUGUAUUUAUUGGCUAAUCAUAUUUCUUCUCUGAGUUGCUUUCUCUUAUUCUUUUCUCAUUUUCUGUUACAUUGUUUAUUCUUUUUGCUUUGUAGGAGGUAGAUAUAUAUUUUGAUUAUAAAAAUUUUUACUAUUACAUAUGUUGAAAAUAUUUUUUCUAGUUUGUGCCUUGUUUUUUAUCUUUGGCCAUAAGAUCUUUGAAAAUACCAAAGUAUAAAAAUUAGCCAAAUCUGUCAAAUGUUUUCUUUAUGGAUUUCAGAUUGCAAUUUAUUUAAAAAGGCUUUUUAAUUUCAAGACUAUUAAAAUAUUUCAAUUUUUUCUCUAAUGUGUUGUAUCUUUAAAUUUUUUACAUUUGUCUUUAUACCUCUCUGAAAUAUACUUUUAGGUAUGUUGCAUGCAUAUAUGGAAUUGAACUUCAUAUUUUCCAAAUAGUCAAUUAUUAUAUGGCCGUUUAUAAAAUAGUCAAUUUUUUCUAAAUGAUUCAAAUUUUUAAGUGCUGACAUAGGCAUUUAUCUCCCU
rnacentral:lncRNA from 1 species